UAGUAGGAAUUAUCGUUCGUUAUUGAAUGGAGCAACAAAUGACUAGUUACCGUGAAUCGUCCUGUCAAAUUAUCCCAAGAAGUUUUCAUUUAACAGAAAAUGAAACUUAUUUAUUUGAUUUACUUUUAAAUUUUAAGAAGAACUCAGACGAACCUAUAGCAAAGACAGAGUUACGCGUUGUAGGUGGUUGGGUUCGUGACAAGUUACUUGGUCGCCCGUGUGAUGAUAUUGAUAUUGCUUUAAGUAAUGUCACUGGAAAGGUUUUUCUAGAAUAUUUUAAAAAAUGGCCUGGUUCCCAAAAUUUUAAUAUAGGCAAUUUCGGAGUCAUUAGACAAAAUCCUUUAAAAUCAAAGCAUUUAGAAACAUCAACGAUGACUUUUAAUAAUUUUUCACUCGAUUUUGUUAAUUUAAGAUCUGAAAAAUACACGGAAGACAGUCGUAUACCUUCGGAAAUGGAUUUCGGGACACCUCAAUCCGACGCUUAUCGACGAGAUUUUACUAUUAACAGUCUUUUUUAUUUUUUGGAUAAAGAUUAUGUGGAAGAUUGGACUGGCAGGGGCUUAUCUGAUCUUAAUGAAAAAAGAUUAUCGACACCUUUAGCUCCCCUUCAAACCUUUCUAGAUGAUCCAUUACGUUUACUUCGAGCGAUCAGAUUCGCUUCCACGUUAGGUUUUCAGUUUGAUGCGGAAUUACUUUACGCUUCUAAAAACUCUUCCGUUCGAGAAAAGCUAAGAAAUAAUAUAUCUUUAGAGAGAAUAGGAACAGAAUUAGAUAAAAUGUUAACAUAUGGAGACCCUGCUAAGUCUUUAUCAUUAAUCUGUAACGAUGUAUCAAUUGAUGAUAUUCUUUUUGAUUUCUCACCAACAAACCUAUCUUUUUUUGAAUGCAUUAGACAUGGUUUAAAAAUAGUAGAAAAAGUUUGUGCAAGUCUUACAGUUGUUGAAGAAGAUUCUUGUACAUUUGUCUUGGACUCAUUCUCCAAUAGUCUCAGUUUGAAAGUAUCACGAUACAUUCGAUGUUUUUUAGCAUACGCUGCAUUUUUUUAUCCGUUAUCAUUAAAAGAUUUUUCUCCUACUUAUUCAAAAGGAAAAAAGCAAAACUCAAAAGUUUUCAGUAUACUAAUGCAUCGUCUUAAAAAGAAAAAAAAAGAUAUUCACAGGUUGUUCACUCUUUAUAAGCAAUUUGAAUUUUGUUUUGAUAGAAUCCUAAAGCUACACGCAGCUGUGAAUUUUUGGACUAAUAUAUUAAAGGCAUGGACGGUAGACCCCUAUUCGAUGAAAUCUCUUGAUGCACCCUUACUGAAUGUUUCUGAAGAUUUUCUCAAUUGUCCUCAAGUUCAUAUAGGUCUUUUGCUACGAUGGGAGACUGAGAAAUAUUGGCAAGCAUCCCUUUUUUUAACAUUCAUUAUACAUGAAAUUUUUUGGAAAGAAAAUUAUCAAAGAGCUAUGCAAGAAAUUUAUACAAUGACUUUAUCAAUGGAUUCUCUUUCCAUUUUUUCACCUCCUAGACUUGAUGGAUUUGAGCUACAGAAGAAAUUGAAAAGGAAACCACAAUCAAUGAAUAUUGCAAAACUUCUUCAUUAUGAGACGCAAUUGUUGUUAAAAAAGCCGACCAUUACAACGGACGAGUUAUUGGAUACGUUAAAUACCUAUCAUGACACGUUGUAGUGUACCCCGAUGAGUUUGGCUGAACUGGAAAAAAAAAUUGUUUUUUUUGUGACCAUCAUGCGUCGUCGUCGUACAGACAAAACACGUUGACACUUUUUUUCUUAUUCGUCAGUUCAUAACGCGAAAACAAUUACUCAAAAUGAAAGCAUACUUUAAAGUCACAUAA